rnacentral:rRNA from 1 species
AUUGAACGCUGGCGGCAUGCUUUGCACAUGCAAGUCGAACGGUAACAGGCCUUCGGGUGCUGACGAGUGGCGAACGGGUGAGUAAUGCAUCGGAACGUACCCAGAGGUGGGGGAUAACGCAGCGAAAGCUGUGCUAAUACCGCAUGUGAUCUGAGGAUGAAAGCGGGGGACCGAGCAGCAAUGUUUGGCCUCGCGCCUUUGGAGCGGCCGAUGUCGGAUUAGCUAGUUGGUGGGGUAAAGGCCUACCAAGGCGGCGAUCCGUAGCUGGUCUGAGAGGACGACCAGCCACACUGGGACUGAGACACGGCCCAGACUCCUACGGGAGGCAGCAGUGGGGAAUUUUGGACAAUGGGCGCGAGCCUGAUCCAGCAAUGCCGCGUGCGGGAAGAAGGCCUUCGGGUUGUAAACCGCUUUUGGCAGGAACGAAACGGUGUCCGCUAAUACCGGGCGCUAAUGACGGUACCUGCAGAAUAAGCACCGGCUAACUACGUG